AUGAUAUGUUUUCUGCUCAUCAUUUUAUCAAUUCUGGUAGUGUUUGCAUUUGUUCUUGGAAAUGUUGCCAAUGGCUUCAUAGCUCUAGUAGGUGUCCUUGAGUGGGUUAAGACACAAAAGAUCUCAUCAGCUGACCAAAUUUCUCACUGCUCUGGUGGUGUCCAGAGUUGGUUUACUCUGGGUCAUAUUAUUACAUUGGUAUGCAACUGUGUUUAAUUUGGCUUCACAUAGAUUAGAAGUAAGAAUUUUUGGUUCUAAUGUCUCAGCAAUAACCAAGCAUUUCAGCAUCUGGGUGUUACUAGCCUCAGCAUAUUUCAUUUGCUCAAGACUGCCAAUUUCUCCAACCUUAUUUUUCUCCACCUAAAGAAAAGGAUUAAGAAUGUUGGUUUGGUGAUGCUGUUGGGGCCCUUGGUAUUUUUCAUUUGUAAUCUUGCUCUGAUAACCACGGGUGAGAGUGUGUGGACAAAAGAAUAUGAAGGAAAUUUGUCUUGGAUGAUCAAAUUGAGGAAUGCAAUACAGCUUUCAAACUUGACUGUAACCAUGCCAGCAAACGUCACACCCUGCACUCUGACACUAAUAUCUUUUCUGCUGUUAAUCUAUUCUCCAUGUAAACAUGUCAAGAAGAUGCAGCUCCAUGGCAAAGGAUCUCAACAUCUCAGCACCAAGGUGCACAUAAAAGCUUUGCAAACUGUGAUCUCCUUCCUUAUGUUAUUUGCCAUUUACUUUCUGUGUCUAAUCACAUCAACUUGGAAUCCUAGGACUCAGCAGAGCAAACUUGUAUUCCUGCUUUACCAAACUCUUGGAUUCAUGUAUCUUUUGUUCCACUCAUUCAUCCUGACUAUGGGAAGUAGGAAGCCAAAACAGACCUUUCUUUCAGCUUUGUGACAGGUGAAAUGCUGAGUGAAAGGACAGAAACCCUCAACUC
rnacentral:lncRNA from 1 species